CCUACGGGGGGCAGCAGUGGGGAAUAUUGCGCAAUGGGCGAAAGCCUGACGCAGCGACGCCGCGUGAGGGAUGAAGGUCUUCGGAUCGUAAACCUCUGUCAGCAGGGAAGAACGGUCACUGUGCUAAUCAGCAGUGAAUUGACGGUACCUGCAAAGGAAGCACCGGCUAACUCCGUGCCAGCAGCCGCGGUAAUACGGAGGGUGCAAGCGUUACUCGGAAUCACUGGGCGUAAAGAGCGCGUAGGCGGGAUAGCAAGUCAGAUGUGAAAUCCUAUGGCUUAACCAUAGAACUGCAUUUGAAACUGGUUUUCUUGAGUAUCGGAGAGGUAAUCGGAAUUCCUAGUGUAGCGGUGAAAUGCGUAGAUAUUAGGAAGAACACCAGUGGCGAAGGCGGAUUACUGGACGACAACUGACGGUGAGGCGCGAAAGCGUGGGGAGCAAACAGGAUUAGAUACCCCGGUAGUC
rnacentral:rRNA from 1 species